rnacentral:rRNA from 1 species
UACGUAGGUGGCGAGCGUUGUCCGGAUUUACUGGGCGUAAAGAGCGCGCAGGCGGUCGUGCAAGUCGGAUGUGAAAGCCCCCGGCUCAACUGGGGAGGGUCAUUCGAUACUGCUCGACUCGAAGGCGGGAGAGGGAAGCGGAAUUCCCGGUGUAGUGGUGAAAUGCGUAGAUAUCGGGAGGAACACCAGUGGCGAAGGCGGCUUCCUGGCCCGUUCUUGACGCUGAGGCGCGAAAGCUAGGGGAGCGAACGGG